GACAGAGGCCCCGAGCGUUAGUCGGAAUUACUGGGCUUAAAGGGUGCGUAGGCGGACGUGUAAGUGUCUUGUGAAAGCCCCGGGCUCAACCCGGGAACCGCAGGGCAUACUGCACGUCUUAGAGGAAGCUAGAGGCCGGUAGAACGAUCGGUGGAGCGGUGGAAUGCGUAGAGAUCGAUCGGAAUGCCAAGGGUGAAGACGACCGGCUGGGGCUUUCCUGACGCUGAGGCACGAAAGCGUGGGGAUCAAACAGG
rnacentral:rRNA from 1 species